UACGUAGGGUGCAAGCGUUGUCCGGAAUUAUUGGGCGUAAAGGGCUCGUAGGCGGUCUGUCGCGUCGGAUGUGAAAAUCCAGGGCUCAACCCUGGGCCUGCAUUCGAUACGGGCAGACUAGAGUUCGGUAGGGGAGACUGGAAUUCCUGGUGUAGCGGUGAAAUGCGCAGAUAUCAGGAGGAACACCGGUGGCGAAGGCGGGUCUCUGGGCCGAUAUUGACGCUGAGGAGCGAAAGCGUGGGGAGCAAACAGG
rnacentral:rRNA from 1 species